rnacentral:rRNA from 1 species
GACGAACGCUGGCGGCGUGCCUAAUACAUGCAAGUCGAGCGAAGUUUUUCUGGUGCUUGCACUAGAAAAACUUAGCGGCGAACGGGUGAGUAACACGUAAAGAACCUGCCUCAUAGACUGGGACAACUAUUGGAAACGAUAGCUAAUACCGGAUAACAGUAUUUCUCGCAUGAGAGAUAUUUAAAAGUUGGUUAUGCUAACACUAUGAGAUGGCUUUGCGGUGCAUUAGCUAGUUGGUGGGGUAAAGGCCCACCAAGGCGACGAUGCAUAGCCGACCUGAGAGGGUGAUCGGCCACACGGGGACUGAGACACGGCCCAGACUCCGACGGGAGGCAGCAGUAGGGAAUCUUCCGCAAUGGGCGAAAGCCUGACGGAGCAACGCCGCGUGAGUGAAGAAGGAUUUCGGGUCGUAAAGCUCUGUUGUGAGGGAAGAAUGGAUAUGUAGUAACUAUACAUGUAAGAGACGGUACCUAAACAGAAAGCCACGGCUAACUACGUG